rnacentral:misc_RNA from 1 species
AUACAAGGAAUGUAAUGGAUGUACGGGAGCCAAGGAUGCUAUAAACGGAGCUAAUGUAAAGGGAUGUUCAGGACAUUGGCCGGAGCGCCGGGCGAAUCGCCUUCAGGGUUUGAGGGGUGGCAAGGAUCGCGUAUUGCAGGAGGGAGAAACCGGGACGUUAUCUAAGUGCAGGGAGUGCGCUGUAAGGAUAUCCUUCCGCAGAAGGUGCGAAAAAAGGCGACAGGUUAACCUGCCGCCUUUUUUCUUUCUCUUCUU